rnacentral:rRNA from 1 species
CUACGGGAGGCAGCAGUGAGGAAUAUUGCACAAUGGGGGGAACCCUGACGCAGCAACGCCGCGUGGAGGAUGACGCAUUUCGGUGUGUAAACUCCUUUUAUAUGUCAAGAAAAUGACGGUAGCAUAUGAAUAAGCACCGGCUAACUCCGUGCCAGCAGCCGCGGUAAUACGGAGGGGGCAAGCGUUACUCGGAAUCACUGGGCGUAAAGGACGCGUAGGCGGGUUGGAAAGUCAGGUGUGAAAUCCUACAGCUUAACUGUAGAACUGCACUUGAAACUUCUAACCUAGAGUAUGGGAGGGGGAGAUGGAAUUAGUGGUGUAGGGGUAAAAUCCGUAGAUAUCACUAGGAAUACCUAAAGCGAAGGCGAUCUCCUGGAACAUUACUGACGCUAAGGCGUGAAAGCGUGGGGAGCAAACAGGAUUAGAUACCCGGGUAGUC